rnacentral:tRNA from 4 species
CGACUUAGCUCAAUUGGCAGAGCAACUGAUUUGUAAUCAGUAGGUUGUAGGUUCGAUUCCUAUAGUCGGC